CUCGUAGCAGAGGACAUAUCAUAAGCGGAGGAGCAUAUCAAUAAGCGGAGGAGCAUAUCAAUAAGCGGAGGAGCAUAUCAAUAAGCGGAGGAGCAUAUCAAUAAGCGGAGGAACAUAUCAAUAAGCGGAGGAUCUUUAUUAUAAAUGAAGUCUGAAUCUUUAAUUAAAAUUUAAUUAAAACUUUCAACAACGGAUCUCUUGGUUCUGGCAUCGAUGAAGAACGCAGCGAAAUGCGAUAAGUAAUGUGAAUUGCAGAAUUCAGUGAAUCAUCGAAUCUUUGAACGCACAUUGCGCCCUUUGGUAUUCCGAAGGGCAUGCCUGUUCGAGCGUCAUUAUCAACCCUCAAGCCCGGCUUGUUAUUGGGUCCUUAUCGUUAAAGAUAGGCCCGAAAGAUAAUGGCGGCGUCAACAAUGACCCCAGAUGCAGCGAGCUUAUAGCAUACAUUGAAAGGUUUUGUUGUCCCGGCCUUUUUUUGCUUCGGCAAAGAUUUUUCAAAGGUUGACCUCGGAUCAGGUAGGAAUACCCGCUGAACUUAAGCAUAUCAAUAAGCGGAGGAA
rnacentral:rRNA from 1 species